rnacentral:rRNA from 1 species
UACGGAGGAUCCAAGCGUUAUCCGGAUUUAUUGGGUUUAAAGGGUGCGCAGGCGGAAAGGUAAGUCGGUGGUGAAAUCCUACAGCUCAACUGUAGAACUGCCAUUGAUACUGCUUUUCUUGAGUAUAGCUGAAGUGGGCGGAAUGUGUCAUGUAGCGGUGAAAUGCUUAGAUAUGACACAGAACACCGAUUGCGAAGGCAGCUCACUAAACUAUAACUGACGCUCAUGCACGAAAGCGUGGGGAUCAAACAGG